GACAGUGGUAUAUGACUGUCUCCCAAUAUCUAUUGUAUCCCUUAGUAUUAGAAACAUUUUAAAGUGGGCACAUGUCUAACCAGAAUGAAGACUAAAUCCCCCAGCUUCCCCUGAAGCUACAUGUGACCGCGCGGCUAAUUUCUAGCCAAGAGGACAGAGAAAGGAGAGAAACACUGGCAGUCUAUGUUUCCUGAUAGAGGCCAUGUGGGCAGGCAGCACGGAGCGAUCACAAACCUGCCCACCAUGAAAGUGCAACUUUUACAGGAAUGCAUGUUCCAGGGCCCGCUAGGCAACGCAGCAUUGCUACAGAAAGAAAAACAUAAGGCAUACUUGCGCACAGGAACUUCGGGCCGAGCUCGCAACUCCUGGUCAUGCGAUUGGUCCGGGGCAGGCAUGUGACUAUCACCUGGCCAAUCCAAAGAGCCUGCAUUUUCACAUGCCACACCAGGUGGUCAGGCAGGUAGGUGUGCACCUGGGACUGCUCAUGGCCCCUCCUACCAGCCCAUAAUCAGAGUGUGCCCACAGCUGGGGAAAGGCUUGUCAGGCUUUAAGAAAUACAGAAGCAUCUUGAAAUAUUUGUGACAUCAAAUAAAAG